GAUGAACGCUGGCGGCGUGCCUAACACAUGCAAGUCGAACGGAGAUUACGGACGGAAGUUUUCGGAUGGAAGACUGUAAUUCUUAGUGGCGGACGGGUGAGUAACGCGUGGGCAACCUGCCCUAUACAGGGGGAUAGCAGCUGGAAACGGCUGGUAAGACCGCAUAAGUCGGCGAGACCGCAUGGUUUUGCCGGGAAAUGAGCAAUCAGGUAUAGGAUGGGCCCGCGUCCGAUUAGCCAGUUGGCAGGGUAAAAGCCUACCAAAGCAACGAUCGGUAGCCGGACUGAGAGGUCGGACGGCCACAUUGGGACUGAGACACGGCCCAAACUCCUACGGGAGGCAGCAGUGGGGGAUAUUGCACAAUGGAGGAAACCCUGAUGCAGCGACGCCGCGUGAGUGAAGAAGUAUUUCGGUAUGUAAAGCUCUAUCAGCAGGGAAGAUGAUGACGGUACCUGACUAAGAAGCCCCGGCUAACUACGUG
rnacentral:rRNA from 1 species